UUAUAAUACAUCAAUUUAAUUUACUAUAAUAUGAAGCUACAAGAUUAGUUCAAAUUAAAGUUAUAAAAAUGGUUGAAACUACUUGAAUAAUUGUACCAAAUUAUAUUAUUUUUUAUAUAGUCAAAAAUUAUUCAAUAACUUUCUUAAGUAUUAAAAAAUCAAGAAUUGUCUUACUUGAGAAGUUUGAUGGUAUAAAAUCAAGAUUUCAAAGAUUUUUCAAUUAAAUAAAAUCAAUUAUUGAAUUUCAACAUUAAAUUUUUUUAAUUUUUAAAUCAUAAGUCAAGUUUAUU
rnacentral:lncRNA from 1 species